UUGCUCCUCGGGUGACGAGUGGCGGACGGGUGAGUAAUGUCUGGGGAUCUGCCCGAUAGAGGGGGAUAACCACUGGAAACGGUGGCUAAUACCGCAUAACGUCGCAAGACCAAAGAGGGGGACCUUCGGGCCUCUCACUAUCGGAUGAACCCAGAUGGGAUUAGCUAGUAGGCGGGGUAACGGCCCACCUAGGCGACGAUCCCUAGCUGGUCUGAGAGGAUGACCAGCCACACUGGAACUGAGACACGGUCCAGACUCCUACGGGAGGCAGCAGUGGGGAAUAUUGCACAAUGGGCGCAAGCCUGAUGCAGCCAUGCCGCGUGUAUGAAGAAGGCCUUCGGGUUGUAAAGUACUUUCAGCGGGGAGGAAGGCAGUGAGGUUAAUAACCUUAUUGAUUGACGUUACCCGCAGAAGAAGCACCGGCUAACUCCGUGCCAGCAGCCGCGGUAAUACGGAGGGUGCAAGCGUUAAUCGGAAUUACUGGGCGUAAAGCGCACGCAGGCGGUCUGUUAAGUCAGAUGUGAAAUCCCCGGGCUUAACCUGGGAACUGCAUUUGAAACUGGCAGGCUUGAGUCUCGUAGAGGGGGGUAGAAUUCCAGGUGUAGCGGUGAAAUGCGUAGAGAUCUGGAGGAAUACCGGUGGCGAAGGCGGCCCCCUGGACGAAGACUGACGCUCAGGUGCGAAAGCGUG
rnacentral:rRNA from 1 species